GGGGCCUCCCUUGCCCUCAGGAGUCCCUGACCAGGGAAGAUCCCUCCAUGCUCUCUGAGGGUGGCGGGGCUCCAAAGAUCCUGGCCAGGAGUGCUUUGUUGGAGUGGGCCUUGUCCUAGGCAGUUGCCAGGAAUGUUUUAAAGGAAGUUGGGCUACUCACAAGUUACUACAUAAGAAAGCAAAAGAUGAAAAGGCGAAGCGAGAAGUGUCUUCCUGGACUGUGGAAGGUGAUAUUAAUACUGACCCAUGGGCAGGUUAUCGAUAUACUGGUAAACUCAGACCACAUUAUCCACUGAUGCCAACAAGGCCAGUGCCAAGUUAUAUUCAAAGACCAGAUUAUGCUGAUCAUCCCUUAGGCACUGUGCUAAGUUCUUUGCACGUGUUACUCCAUUUAACACUUUCAACACUGCUGAGGAAUGUCUGAAUCUGAACAGGCUCUUAAAGGUACUUCUCAGAUUAAAUUACUCUCAUCUGAAGAUAUAGAAGGGAUGCGACUUGUAUGUAGGCUUGCUAGAGAAGUUUUGGAUAUUGCUGCUGGCAUGAUUAAACCAGGUGUAACUACUGAAGAAAUAGAUCACGCUGUACACUUAGCAUGUAUUGCAAGAAAUUGCUA
rnacentral:sRNA from 1 species